rnacentral:rRNA from 1 species
AUUGAGCGCUGGCGGCAUGCUUUACACAUGCAAGUCGAACGGUAACAGGCCGCAAGGUGCUGACGAGUGGCGAACGGGUGAGUAAUGCAUCGGAACGUGCCCAGUCGUGGGGGAUAACGCAGCGAAAGCUGUGCUAAUACCGCAUACGAUCUAUGGAUGAAAGCGGGGGACCGUAAGGCCUCGCGCGAUUGGAGCGGCCGAUGUCAGAUUAGGUAGUUGGUGGGGUAAAGGCCUACCAAGCCGACGAUCUGUAGCUGGUCUGAGAGGACGACCAGCCACACUGGGACUGAGACACGGCCCAGACUCCUACGGGAGGCAGCAGUGGGGAAUUUUGGACAAUGGGCGCAAGCCUGAUCCAGCAAUGCCGCGUGCAGGAAGAAGGCCUUCGGGUUGUAAACUGCUUUUGUACGGAACGAAACGGUCUGGGUUAAUACCCCGGGCUAAUGACGGUACCGUAAGAAUAAGCACCGGCUAACUACGUGCCAGCCGCCGCCGUAACAC